UACGGGGGGGGGCAAGCGUUGUUCGGAAUUACUGGGCGUAAAGGGCUCGUAGGCGGCCAACUAAGUCAGACGUGAAAUCCCUCGGCUUAACCGGGGAACUGCGUCUGAUACUGGAUGGCUUGAGUUCGGGAGAGGGAUGCGGAAUUCCAGGUGUAGCGGUGAAAUGCGUAGAUAUCUGGAGGAACACCGGUGGCGAAGGCGGCAUCCUGGACCGACACUGACGCUGAGGAGCGAAAGCCAGGGGAGCAAACGGG
rnacentral:rRNA from 1 species